GAUGAACGCUGGCGGCGUGCCUAAUACAUGCAAGUCGAGCGAACAGAUGAGGAGCUUGCUCCUCUGACGUUAGCGGCGGACGGGUGAGUAACACGUGGAUAACCUACCUCUAAGACUGGGAUAACUUCGGGAAACCGGAGCUAAUACCGGAUAAUAUAUUGAACCGCAUGGUUCAAUAGUGAAAGACGGUUUUGCUGUCACUUAUAGAUGGAUCCGCGCCGCAUUAGCUAGUUGGUAAGGUAACGGCUUACCAAGGCGACGAUGCGUAGCCGACCUGAGAGGGUGAUCGGCCACACUGGAACUGAGACACGGUCCAGACUCCUACGGGAGGCAGCAGUAGGGAAUCUUCCGCAAUGGGCGAAAGCCUGACGGAGCAACGCCGCGUGAGUGAUGAAGGUCUUCGGAUCUUAAAACUCUGUUAUUAGGGAAGAACAAAUGUGUAAGUAACUAUGCACGUCUUGACGGUACCUAAUCAGAAAGCCACGGCUAACUACGUG
rnacentral:rRNA from 1 species